GAAAACAGUACGAAAAUGUUCUAUUUCCGCCUUUCUGUCAAAAAAGGAUUUUAACUGUAGAAGAAUCAUACCAUUUGAUGCCAAGUGUACAAUAAAAACUUAAAUGAAAAUUGACAACAGAAGUGUCAUGGUCUUGGUGGAAAAUGCUGUGCUCUUUAUUGACCUCUGUUUGAUAAUGGCUGGUGAUAGAAAACUAUCAGGAAUGCUUCAAGCUGGCAAUGUAGGGAAAUGUAAAAGUAGGACACUGAGAAAUCACAAGGUUUCAAACAUCUAGAAUAUGCUCAUGGUCAGUCUUCAAGAUUCUCACCUUAAAGGUUCCAGUGUGUUUUAGGAGACUUUGUCAGAACAGUACUUUAUACCUACAUACACUGGAGAUACCCGACCCAGCAGAUAACUACAGAUAUAUUGACACAGAACAUGAAAUUAAUUGUAUAUCCCAACACAACAUUAGUCUUUAAACUGUUAAAUAGGCAGUGAGGCAUUUGUGUGUAACCCUCAUUAUUUGUAAUGAUUUUUUUUAAGUUUGACUUUUCAUUUAAAAGCCAUUAGCAUUAGAUUUUCCAAAUAUAUAUAUUUUUAUACAGUUUCAAUUGUGAUGUAUAUCCAGUUGUUCAUGUUUCCUCUAAGGAUUUAAACACUUGAAUUAUAUAGGACAAUUUAAAAGACACAUUUAUUCAAACUUAUGAUAAUAUAUAAAACAGACACUACCAUGGUUGAUCAUGUAAACCUUCAUACUAUAUUUUUAUAGAAAUUAAGUGAAUCUUUUGAUAUUUCUGAAUACAUUUAUUUUUACUUUGACUGGCUCAUGUAUAAACACAGAAUGCUACAUAAAGUGUAUACUCCAGUGUAUAUCAUAACAUGAUUGAAAUAGAUAAUAGAUUAUAUUUGCAUGAAACUCUGAACACUUAACCACUAUGGCAAUCUGCACCAGUUAUUAAGAUACUUUUUGUUGAAUAAUGUGUUUUGAUGAGACGAGCUUGUAAAAUAGCUAUAUUUCUUUUAGUCAUUUUGUGUAUUUGAAACAUGUCUGCAAAUGUAGAUUUUAUCAUGUAUUUUGAAUGGAUCUGAAAUACUGUUUAUUUAACUGUUAUAACAACGAUUGACGCAAUAAAGAUGGA